rnacentral:rRNA from 1 species
GGCGGACGGGUGAGUAAUGCUUAGGAAUCUGCCUAUUAGUGGGGGACAACAUUCCGAAAGGGAUGCUAAUACCGCAUACGUCCUACGGGAGAAAGCAGGGGAUCUUUAUGACCUUGCGCUAAUAGAUGAGCCUAAGUCGGAUUAGCUAGUUGGUGGGGUAAAGGCCUACCAAGGCGACGAUCUGUAGCGGGUCUGAGAGGAUGAUCCGCCACACUGGGACUGAGACACGGCCCAGACUCCUACGGGAGGCAGCAGUGGGGAAUAUUGGACAAUGGGGGGAACCCUGAUCCAGCCAUGCCGCGUGUGUGAAGAAGGCCUUUUGGUUGUAAAGCACUUUAAGUGGGGAGGAGGCUUACCUGGUUAAUACCUGGGCUAAGUGGACGUUACCCACAGAAUAAGCACCGGCUAACUCUGUGCCAGCAGCCGCGGUAAUACAGAGGGUGCGAGCGUUAAUCGGAUUUACUGGGCGUAAAGCGCGCGUAGGUGGUUAAUUAAGUCAAAUGUGAAAUCCCCGAGCUUAACUUGGGAAUUGCAUUCGAUACUGGUUAGCUAGAGUAUGGGAGAGGAUGGUAGAAUUCCAGGUGUAGCGGUGAAAUGCGUAGAGAUCUGGAGGAAUACCGAUGGCGAAGGCAGCCAUCUGGCCUAAUACUGACACUGAGGUGCGAAAGCAUGGGGAGCAAACAGGAUUAGAUACCCUGGUAGUCCAUGCCGUAAACGAUGUCUACUAGCCGUUGGGGGAUUUGAUCCUUUAGUGGCGCAGCUAACGCGAUAAGUAGACCGCCUGGGGAGUACGGUCGCAAGACUAAAACUCAAAUGAAUUGACGGGGGCCCGCACAAGCGGUGGAGCAUGUGGUUUAAUUCGAUGCAACGCGAAGAACCUUACCUGGCCUUGACAUAGUAGAGACUUUCCAGAGAUGGAUUGGUGCCUUCGGGAAUCUACAUACAGGUGCUGCAUGGCUGUCGUCAGCUCGUGUCGUGAGAUGUUGGGUUAAGUCCCGCAACGAGCGCAACCCUUUUCCUUACUUGCCAGCAUUUCGGAUGGGAACUUUAAGGAUACUGCCAGUGACAAACUGGAGGAAGGCGGGGACGACGUCAAGUCAUCAUGGCCCUUACGGCCAGGGCUACACACGUGCUACAAUGGUCGGUACAAAGGGUUGCUACACAGCGAUGUGAUGCUAAUCUCAAAAAGCCGAUCGUAGUCCGGAUCGCAGUCUGCAACUCGACUGCGUGAAGUCGGAAUCGCUAGUAAUCG